AGCAGCUGACCCUUAGAGGUCCUGAUUCACACACCCGGAACCUCGAGGAAAGAGGAGCUGGAUCCUGCUCUGGCUGGAAAUUUGGCCCUCAGCUCAGCUUCCGUUCCUGCCCAGGGCUGACUGCAGAGCCCACAGAGACUUCCCUUCUCCCUGCCCCAAUGGCCCUAGGCCUUUCCUCACUCUUAUCUGAUCCUCUUAAUUCUGGUUUUCAUCUCCACACGUCAGGGCAGAUUUUUGAAGAAACUGGAAGACUUGCUUCCUCAACGGCGAACUUGCAAGCGGCCACCUACACCAGGGAAGCAGCGUUUCCCCCGUUCCUCACUGGAGACCAAGGCCGGUCUGUGCUGACAGAGGUGGGAGGCGGCACCGCGUCGCCUUCAGCAGGGUCGGGUUGGUGGGAGGCCCGCCCUGGCCUCCACCGCGCACUUCUCUCUGUGGGCCUCUGCGGGGCCCUGAGGCUCAGAGUCGCCUCCUUUUCUGCUUCCCGAAUCCUCUGCACCCGCACCGGACUCCUGCCACACCAGCCCUCCCCGCUUCCCGGACACGCGCCUCAGCUCCCUCUGCCUGUGCGGGUCCCACUCCUCCCUCCACCCCAGGCUGCCGGACCUGCUCCCCUGGCUUGGUUCGGAAUCCUUCCUUAUCUCAGGAAGCAAAGCUUCUCUCGCCUGUUAGCCUCCCACACCUCGCUUCACAGUAUUUCCCUUCACAGCAGCUAGGGCCACUCAGCUGGCUUCUCGUCUCCCUGUUCCAUACACAUCGCCCCUACCAGCCCUGCGAAGGCCCCUGCUGGAUCUGGACGCCCCGCGGGCGCGGGGUAAAGGCCAGGGAUCCACAGCCGCAGAGCGCCCCCCAGUGCCCGGCCGGCCUGCCUGCCUGCCUGCCUGCCUUCCUCUUUACUUUCUUUCUCUCUCUCUAUCUCUCUCUUCUUUCUUCAGAGGGAACUCUGGAGCCACAGAUCGGGGACCUGAUUCACCGGGUAAACGAGCUGCAGCAAGCAAAGAAGAAAUCUGGCCAGGAACUGGGAGAUGCCCAGGCUCUCUGGGAGGCCCUGAAUAGGGAACUAGACUCCUUGCAUGGAGAGGAAGUGCACCUAGAGGUCUUGAGCAAAAAGCAAGAGGCAGGCGCUGAUGAUCCUCCGGCAGCACAGCCAAGGCGCAGAGAGUGAGGCUGCGAGGCAUCAUCUCCCUGGCGGCCGGAACUGAAGGCCCGAGCUGUGCCUGAGGCCCCCAGAGCUGGUGUGGCGCGGGUGGGCGUCCCUGUGGCCUGUGAGCUGUCAUUCCUGCUGUCGGCACCCAGGUUGGACGAGGACGAGCAGCUGGAGGACCUGGUGGCCCAGCACAAGGACGUCUGGGAGUUCCAUGUGAGCCGCUGCCAUCGCCCUCAACCAAGUCCCUGCUCUCCUGGCUCUGUCUCCGCUGACCCCCAGCGCCCCGCCCGCAGUCUUUACUCCUGUUUUCCUCGCACCUUCCGUCUGCCCUCUCCCCGCUGCUGCCCCGCGUUGCUGGCCCAUGUGGCAGUAGCAGGGCAGAGCCUGCUUCCUCCUGCCGGCCUGGAGAAGUCGUCUGGCAGCGGCUAGUGGAAACUCCGAGAGCCUCCGUUCCCCCGGGCAGGGCGAGGCGGCCCAGAACCCCAGGCCGGUCUUCUACCCCGAGCUGGCAGGGGAGGCUGCCAGACUCGCCAGGAAACAAGGCAGGGCGUGUCCUCUCGGGGAGGGCGGCGGCGCAGGUGACCGCCGAGGACAGGUGGGGGCGGGUGCAGGUGCUCCAGGCAGAAGUGAAGGUGCACGCCAGGGCCCCAGCCAAAGGGCUCGGCACCCGCGCGGAGCAGCCAGCAGGGGAGCGGAAGGUGGGAAGCGGAGCGUGCGCAGAAGCGAAGUUCGGAGGAGCGACUGGUUAAAGGGUCUCCAGCCACAGCAGAGCCGGCGCACCGAGCUGACAGUUGAGUGAAUGAGUGACCUAAAGAAGGUAAGGAUUGUCAGGCGGGCAGCAAGCCUCCUCUGUUCUCGCAGGUGCUGGAGCUGCGACUGACCCGCGAGAUCCGCGCCCUGCAGCGCAGCCAGGAGCAGCUGCGGGCGGAGGGGACCCUGGUGCGCGCGCGGCUGCAGGAGGUGGAGCGGCGGCUGCGCCUGGCGGCCGAGGUUGGGGGCGACCCAGUGGUGACUGGUGGGUGAGGCUACCCGCUCCCCUGGCCCUGCUGCCGCCUCUUGGGGUGCCCGGCCUGGGUCUGCCUCGGUGGCUUCCCCUCCCCUCUCCUCCGCAGACUGAAGGCGGAGCUCCAGAGCUCGGAGGGACCCGGCCCGAGCGCCUCAGAGCUCGGGGUCCGCAGAGAGGCCCAGGACGCGGGGGGAGACCUGGAGCCGCAGGCUGAGGCGGCCCCGACCCUUGCAGAGAUAAAGGCCGAGGUCUCAGACUGUCCUCGGGCUCGGCUGCGUGUGUGCCGCGACUCUCGGGGCGGGCGGGGCUCAGCUGAACCCGCCUAACCUGCGCGAUGCUAGGCCCUUUGGCGGGGCGUCGCCCGCCUGCACUCGCCCUCCUGUGGGCUCCCAGCUGCCAAGCUGCCCGUCCACAGGCCUCAAGCACUCCGCGCCCAGUGACCCCUCAGGGCCUUUGCCCUGCUAGUCCUCCGCCGGGCGCCCACCGCCUGGGUCUCCUGGGGGCUUCUGCACUCACCGCUGGUCUGUUAAACAUCUCAGAAUUGAGCUACAAGGAAAGCAGCUAUGAAAACCGAGAGGAGCCUGCGGAGGGGCAGUUCCUGGACAGGGUAGAGCAGAGAGAGCCAGCGGGACGCCCUGAGGUCCUGCAGCUGGAGGAUAAGGCGUCCAGGCAGGCCUUGGCACCCGUCACCAGGACGCUGUCAAACGCAGUCCCAGCUCUGCCUGCCAGCUGUGCAGCAUCGGGCAAAUUGCUUCUCUGUGCCUCAGUUCCUUCAUCUGUGAAAUGAAGGUCAUUGUGGGGAUUAAUUGACCACAGGUGGAAAGUUCUGCAUACUUUCGGGCACACCGUAAGUACGGUCAUUACGUAGAAUUUUCAUAUGUCAUCAUCCCAGGAAAUUGACACAGUAAACAGCGGAUAGGUUUUGCUGCUGCUGGUGGUGGUGGUGAUGGUGGUGUGUGUGUGUGUGUGUGGUGUUCGUCCGUCCCUGUCUCCGUCCUAACACGUUGAGAAACAAAAACCACGGAAGAACUAAUGAGUUUCCAGAGUCCUUCCAGAUGUGCCACCUUCUUCCCCAUUGCAUACAGGCCUCCUUCCCCACCCACACUGCCAGCUUGUUAGUGAAUCUGGUAGUUUGUGUUACCCAAGCUUGAGUAACUUUAUGAAGAAAAGAAGGUUUCUGGAAGUUCAAAGUUGAGGGGCCACAUCCCACAAUAACCUUGUGGUCAGAGUCCUGAAGUGACACAGGACAUCACAUGGCCAGAGACACAGCACAUCUCUGUGUCCCGUCCCUUCUUAUGAGGUCGCCAGGAUUCAGUCGUGGAGACUUCAUCCUUGUAAUUUUAGUCCUAAUCACUUCCCAAAGGCCCCACCCAGCUAUCCUUGGAUUAAGUUUCCAUCUUCUCACUGCCUUGAGUGGGGAUUAAACAUCAACAUGUGAAACCUUGGGAGUCACUCAGACCAUGUCCAAACCACAGCAUGAAUUCAGGUCGAAAUCCACUUGGCUGUUUUCCAAGUUCAGCAGUUCCACAUGCAUUUGUGAAGUAUUGGCCAUGCUCUUGGCACUUUGGUGGUCAUUGAAAAAGUGACAGGAAAUGUAUGGGUCGCAGUCCUGCCAUCACGGAGCUUGUAGACUCACUGGAGGGAGAAGAGACAUUCUCAGUGAAUGACAGCAGACAGAGCAGUAUGCUAGUAGGAAGGACCAGGCCUAGAAUCCAAUGGUUCUUUCUUGUGACUUAGUCCUGCCUCCCUGUGUGACCUUGAUGGAGAAAUAAACUGAAAGAAAAUAUCACUCAUAAAACAUCUCCACAAAAAGUGAAACAUAAAGCAGGCAGUUUUAUUGUUGAAUAAACAUUAAACCAGAAUGGAAUGCUUAUCACAGGCAAACUGUAAAGAUUGCAAAGUCGGGAAGAAAUAGCGCCCUCUCAUGGUCAAACCGAUGUGAUGUCGUCCAGUCUCUAUUAAUAACCAGCCCUCAAGUAAGUGGGCCUGGCACCCAUUGGUCAAACACACAGUUCCUCCUAAAUCUGCGUGACCGUUUGCGUUAAUUUGCCUUAUCCAAAGCAAAGUCACGUGGCAGUUGGCAGUUUGGUGCAAGGCACCUGCUGGAGGUGGGACGCGUGCAUGCGCGCGCACACACAGAUCACACACUGGGAUAUAGUGUAAUCUUCCUGGAGGUUGCAUUUCAAAGAGGUGGCUCCUGGGUCAUUGAGAAAGACAAUCCUGUGUGGUGAAGGUGGCAAGAGUCGUAUCAGGUUUUUAAUAAGCUAAUUGCUGUCAUUUCCAAUUGACAGAAGGUAGAUGUCCUAAGAAUAAGUCAGGUGGUUCCUCUUUUUCUGAACACCCUCACUCCACUGGAGUGCAUCCUGUGUCUACCUCUAGUAAAUCCUUCUCAUGGCUCCUUAAAAAAAAUGUCAGGAGUUGGGGUAGUUUAUUUUCAACAGGGGAAAUGAAGCCUUAUACUUCUAAUUUGUAUGCGCUUUGCCCUUACAACCUUAGGUAAGUCACUACAUGUUUCUAUGCCUCUUUUUAUUUUCUCCCAUAUGGGAAGAGGCAAGUGACAUAUCAGUGUUCACGAUUUCUAGGCACCCAUUUUUAGGCCCCAAGUAAAUUGAAACCAGUGGUACCCUGUCACCUUUGGCCUAGUUAAAACUUUCCCUCCCUGCAUGAUUGCUUGCAAUAUAGCCCAGUUGUUCUUCAUCCCACUGAUCCAAAAACCCAGCGGCUGACUGUACGUUAAUUAACCUGAUAGUAAACACCACAGCCACAUGUGUAAGUUCCCCCCUUUGCAUGUGAUUUCUUUUGCCAGUUCACAGCCCUCUGAGAAAGCCAAGGGAAUAGGCCCCUGACCCUCCAUCCAGGCAUAGUAUCACAAGCCCUCUUUCCUGUGUUCCCCACUUGCUGGUUGAGCUUCCUGCUGCCUCCUGAAUGGACUUCUUGUCAGCACCCCAACUUCACUUAGUUUGGCCUCACCUCCUGUCUCCUGUGACAGACACACUGGAACCUCUUUUCCAGUCAGGCUUCUCCUAAAGAGUGGCUAACUCCUUGGUAGGAAUAAACUGGACACAAGUCAGACAGCCAAAGGCUGGUUAUGGGUCAGAUACAUAGAUGUUAGGCCACACACAUCAGGCAUGCUGUAAACAUCCAUGACCUCCUGUCCUAUUGGGUGGGGAGAAUUAAUAGCUACCCUACACGGAAACCCCAAGACCAAAGUAGAGAAACAUCAGAGUGGAGUCAUUUGCCUGCAGAAAGGGUCGCAACCAUCCAAAACACAAUUGUGUUCCUGACUGCAAGCAUUGCAACACCUGUAUAUUUGCCACAAGCCACAGAUCUUAGGGCAGCCUGUGCACCAGAAUCAACCACAGCUCAAUGAAAACAGUGUUGCUGUUAUGACUUGUGUCUAGAUUGAAGGACCCUAGUUAGCAAGACAGACUCCAUAUUGCUGCUGAACGACCCACCUGCCUGCUCUUUAGAUGAACUUAGAAGGAGGAAGCUUAGAAACCUCCUCCCCUUAGAAAGUCUCUUUAGAAACAACAAUUAAUCAACUAUUGUUUUACAGAUGUUCUCCUGGCAGGACUUUCCGCUUCUGUACCUUUCGCUUGCUUUGCUAGUUCUAUCCCAUAGGGGGGCCUAGAAACUGCUGGCCUCAACGGUGUAUAAAACAUGUUUGUCUCCGCCCAGUUGGGGCUCGAGUCCAGUGCUCGGCUCAGGUCCCCGGUCGGUAAUAAACUCCU